GUCUGUAUGAAUAAUUAUAUAAAGUCUGGCCUGCCCACUGAGUUUAUUAAAGGGCCGCGGUAAUUUGACCGUGCGAAGGUAGCAUAAUAAGUAGUUCUUUAAUUGGGAGCUUGAAUGAAUGGUCGGAUGAGGGGUAAGCUGUCUUUUUGGCAGUUACAGAAUUUAACUUUUAAGUGAAAAGGCUUAAAUGAAUUAAAGGGACGAUAAGACCCUAUAAAACUUAAAUAUAAUAUAUUUGAUAUUGCAAAUUAUGUUUAGAGGUAAAAUUAAGUGUCUUAUAUUUUGUUGGGGCGACAUGAAUAUAAAAUAUAUAACUGUUUACUUAAAUUUUAUAGUUAUAAUUAGUUUUAUGAUCCCUUAAUACGGAUUAAGAGAAUAAGUUACUUUAGGGAUAACAGCGUAAUUUUUUCUGAGAGUUCUUAUCGACGAAAAUAGUUGCGACCUCGAUGUUGAAUUAAAAUUUCUACUAGGUGUAGCCGUUUAGUGAGUGGGUCUGUUCGACCCUUAAAAUUUUACAUGAUUUGAGUUCAAACCGGUGUGAGCCA
rnacentral:rRNA from 1 species